AACGAACGCUGGCGGCAUGUCUAACACAUGCAAGUCGAACGAGACCUUCGGGUCUAGUGGCGCACGGGUGCGUAACGCGGGGGAACCUGCCCUUAGGUUCGGAAUAACUCCCCGAAAGGGGUGCUAAUACCGGAUAAUGUCUUCGGACCAAAGAUUUAUCGCCUUUGGAUGGGCCCGCGUUGGAUUAGCUGGUUGGUAGGGUAAAAGCCUACCAAGGCGACGAUCCAUAGCUGGUCUGAGAGGAUGAUCAGCCACACUGGGACUGAGACACGGCCCAGACUCCUACGGGAGGCAGCAGUGGGGAAUAUUGGACAAUGGGCGAAAGCCUGAUCCAGCAAUGCCGCGUGAGUGAUGAAGGCCUUAGGGUUGUAAAGCUCUUUUACCCGGGAUGAUAAUGACAGUACCGGGAGAAUAAGCUCCGGCUAACUCCGUG
rnacentral:rRNA from 1 species